ACAAGCACAAUCACUGACCCACACACAAACAUUACAUACAAUGUUUGUGUGUGGGUCAGUGAUUGUGCUUGU